CGCAGAAAAUAUGGACUCAUGGACGCCGAUGACGGUGUUGUGAUUUAGUUGGCUGAUCCAGAAGAUUAAGGCACAUGGGAUCCACGGUGACUAUUAGAUUGGAUUCAAAGCUACCAGAGAAGACUGAGGGUAAGAAACCAAAUCUGGUUG